AGCGCUUAGAAGUGAGAAUGCCGGUGUGAGUAGCGAAAGACGGGUGAGAAUCCCGUCCACCGAUUGACUAAGGUUUCCAGAGGAAGGCUCGUCCGCUCUGGGUUAGUCGGGUCCUAAGCUGAGGCCGACAGGCGUAGGCGAUGGAUAACAGGUUGAUAUUCCUGUACCACCUAGUAUCGUUUUAAUCGAUGGGGGGACGCAGUAGGAUAGGCGAAGCGUACGAUUGGAUUGUACGUCUAAGCAGUGAGACUGAGUGUUAGGCAAAUCCGGCACUCAUAAGGUCAAGCUGUGAUGGGGAGAGGAAAUUGUUUCCUCGAGUCGUUGAUUUCACACUGCCAAGAAAAGCCUCUAGAUAGAUAACAGGUGCCCGUACCGCAAACCGACACAGGUAGUCAAGAUGAGAAUUCUAAGGUGAGCGAGCGAACUCUCGUUAAGGAACUCGGCAAAAUGACCCCGUAACUUCGGGAGAAGGGGUGCUCUUUAGGGUGUAAGCCCAGAAGAGCCGCAGUGAAUAGGCCCAAGCGACUGUUUAUCAAAAACACAGGUCUCUGCUAAACCGUAAGGUGAUGUAUAGGGGCUGACGCCUGCCCGGUGCUGGAAGGUUAAGAGGAGUGGUUAGCUUCUGCGAAGCUACGAAUCGAAGCCCCAGUAAACGGCGGCCGUAACUAUAACGGUCCUAAGGUAGCGAAAUUCCUUGUCGGGUAAGUUCCGACCCGCACGAAAGGCGUAACGAUUUGGGCACUGUCUCAACGAGAGACUCGGUGAAAUCAUAGUACCUGUGAAGAUGCAGGUUACCCGCGACAGGACGGAAAGACCCCGUGGAGCUUUACUGUAGCCUGAUAUUGAAAUUCGGCACAGCUUGUACAGGAUAGGUAGGAGCCAUUGAAACGUGAGCGCUAGCUUACGUGGAGGCGCUGGUGG
rnacentral:rRNA from 1 species